rnacentral:rRNA from 1 species
AGAGUUUGAUCAUGGCUCAGGACGAACGCUGGCGGCGUGCCUAACACAUGCAAGUCGAACGGAGUCGGCCCCGCAAGGGACUGACUUAGUGGCGAACGGGUGAGUAACGCGUGAGCAACCUGCCUUUCAGUGGGGAACAACAGUUGGAAACGACUGCUAAUACCGCAUAAUGCAUUUUUGACCGCAUGAUCGAGAUGCCAAAGAUUUAUUGCUGAAAGAUGGGCUCGCGUCUGAUUAGAUAGUUGGUGAGGUAACGGCCCACCAAGUCGACGAUCAGUAGCCGGACUGAGAGGUUGAACGGCCACAUUGGGACUGAGAUACGGCCCAGACUCCUACGGGAGGCAGCA